rnacentral:rRNA from 1 species
CACGUAGGGCGCAAGCGUUGUCCGGAAUUAUUGGGCGUAAAGAGCUCGUAGGCGGUCUGUCGCGCCUGCUGUGAAAACUCGGGGCUUAACCCCGGGCCUGCAGUGGGUACGGGCAGACUAGAGUGCGGUAGGGGAGACUGGAAUUCCUGGUGUAGCGGUGAAAUGCGCAGAUAUCAGGAGGAACACCGGUGGCGAAGGCGGGUCUCUGGGCCGUAACUGACGCUGAGGAGCGAAAGCAUGGGGAGCGAACAGG